CAAAAAAUGGCGCCUCGCCUUUGAUGCCAUCUUCUUUUCCAGAACACUGCUCCAUAUUGCCAAAAACGCUGUCAAUCAGCAGUUAAAUGUCAAACUAUUACGCACUUUCUCCUACACUGCAAUAGAUAUCAAGACACAGACUGAUCGCCUUGAUAAGGUAAGUCUCUCCAAGCUUGUGGAGGAGGAAAGUCUCGACCAACUUAGAAGUUUUGGUGGUGUUGAUGGUGUUGUUGCAGCCCUGAAAAGUGAUGCAAAGAAUGGCAUAAAAGAUGAUAAUUUGGAUGUUUACGAUCGACGAAUGACCUAUGGUUCAAACAAGUAUGUAAGGCCACCUGCAAGAAGCUUCUUCUACUUUGUGUUAAAGGCCUUCAAAGAUCCCAUGAUCAUCCUCGUGGUUGUGUGCAGUGCCCUUUCACUUGGGUUUGGUAUUAGAAAGCAUGGACUGGCAAGAGGAUGGAGUGAUGGAGGCAGCAUAUUUC
rnacentral:lncRNA from 1 species